rnacentral:lncRNA from 1 species
AAGGCGAGCUGAAAUACGGCUGGAGCGUUCCCAGGCUACAGUUUGUAGCCGACGAUUGUGGAAGACUAGGAGCCGGAGAGGUGGCCCACCCUCAGGGAGCGCUUGUGCUCGGAGGGCUUCUCAUUUCCCCAAUACCACAUUAAAUCGUCUCAUCUGAGGAGGAUCCACAGAGCUGUCUUCUAUGGUAAUCUGGAGAAACUGGAGUACCUUCUGCUCACGUAUCAUGACACCAAUGAGAGAGACAAGGAGGAAAGCAUCCGGUGAAAGACAGAGAUCACAUUUCAACUAGAUUCUUAGGAAGUAUGGAUUCACUAACUUCAGCGAAGAGAAAAGCUAUACCUGCUGACGUUACAAUUGUUUUAGAACUUCAACUCCUUUAUGUCAGUGUUGUUACAUUGAGAAUCUUUACUUAAUCACAUCUUCUGAUUACCAGAUUGAGUUUCUGCAUGUGUGUGUGUAUCUCUGAUUAAAAAUGAAUAAAAUGAUUAAUCAUUCUUUUGUAA